rnacentral:tRNA from 1 species
GCCUGGCUGGCUCAGUUAGUAGAGCAUGCGACUCUUGAUCUCAGGAUUGUGAGUUUGAGCUCCACGUUGGGUG